rnacentral:rRNA from 1 species
GGUCGCGAAUAUUGCACAAUGGGCGCAAGCCUGAUGCAGCCAUGCCGCGUGUGUGAAGAAGGCCUUCGGGUUGUAAAGCACUUUCAGUCAGGAGGAAAGGUUAGUAGUUAAUACCUGCUAGCUGUGACGUUACUGACAGAAGAAGCACCGGCUAACUCCGUGCCAGCAGCCGCGGUAAAUAAAAAAA